rnacentral:rRNA from 1 species
GAUCAUGGCUCAGGACGAACGCUGGCGGCGCGCUUAACACAUGCAAGUCGAGCGAUGAAACUUUAACAGAACCCUUCGGGGCGAAGAUAAAGUGGAUUAGCGGCGGACGGGUGAGUAACACGUGAGUAACCUGCCUUAGACAUUGGGAUAGCCUCGGGAAACCGGGAUUAAUACCAAAUAAAAUCAUAAUGACACAUGUCAUAACGAUCAAAACUCCGGUGGUCUAAGAUGGACUCGCGUCCCAUUAG